GAUGAACGCUGGCGGCGUGCUUAACACAUGCGAGUCGAACGAAGCACUUUAUUUGAUUUCCUUCGGGACUGAUUAUUUUGUGACUGAGUGGCGGACGGGUGAGUAACGCGUGGGUAACCUGCCUUGUACAGGGGGAUAACAGUUGGAAACGGCUGCUAAUACCGCAUAAGCGCACAGCAUCGCAUGAUGCAGUGUGAAAAACUCCGGUGGUAUAAGAUGGACCCGCGUUGGGUUAGCUAGUUGGUGAGGUAACGGCCCACCAAGGCGACGAUCCAUAGCCGACCUGAGAGGGUGACCGGCCACAUUGGGACUGAGACACGGCCCAAACUCCUACGGGAGGCAGCAGUGGGGAAUAUUACACAAUGGGCGAAAGCCUGAUGCAGCGACGCCGCGUGAGCGAAGAAGUAUUUCGGUAUGUAAAGCUCUAUCAGCAGGGAAGAUAAUGACGGUACCUGACUAAGAAGCACCGGCUAAAUACGUG
rnacentral:rRNA from 1 species